UACAUGGCUGUGCUUCCUGUCCCGUUGGGGGAAUCCCAAGGGGCUGAGAUGGAAAGAGGAAGCAGGACCCCAAGGGGACAGCUCUGAUGGACUCGCUCGUUCCAGGAACUUCGAGCCUGGGGUGUAAGGACCCACAACGGAAACUGAGACAGACGUGAAGCGGAGACACGAACGGCUUCCCCCUCCGUGGAAGACUUUCUCGCUUCAGAGCAUCCUCCGAGAGUCUCCGGGGGGACGUCUGGUACAGAAGACACUGCUAUUGGGUUCUCCGAAUCAAAGCCACGUCUUCUGAAGACUGAGCAUGAGAAGCUCCUCCAAUCCCAAGGAACUCCUAUCUCUGGUUCCAUAACCCCCAGGCCCGGGAGGUCCGGCCAUGCCUGUAAGGGGCACCGGACUCUGGGAAUCUGACCAGUCUCUGCUGAGCCCCCAAGUCCUACCCUGGGGACCCCAAAGACCCUUCCAGCCUGAGAGGAUGUCUGCAUCGGCUACAGGACCGGAGUAACUGGGCAGAAAGCCGAUUGCGGUGCUGGCUCCCGGCCACGUGGAUGUGCAGCAGUGAUACCCACCAGGCCGCCGGACACCGUGGAAUCCUGGAGAGAGUGAGGGGAGUCUGGGGGCCUCUGCAGGGCAGGUGAGUUUUCAGCCACAGGCAGGCCCCCGAGGGCUGAGGGGCCAGGCAGCCAGAGUGCCCGGCUCACUUCUGCCUGGCCUGGUCCCAGCAGAGGCGCCAGGCUCUCCAUCUCUCCACGUAUUCUGCCCGCGUGGACCUUUGCAUGCGUGGCGGUGCUGGCCCAAGCUCUGCUCUCCCGACUGCUCCCGGCCUGGGGCAGGCUGGCAGGUCCUGAAGAGACGCCAGCCAGGACACAUCCUUGUCACUGCACCACGUGACCAGCUGUCACUUUGGAGUUUCUGAUCCUUGCAGAGUCGAAGGUGCCGAUGAAAACCGAGGGAUUGCGUCGGCCCUGCCAGGCCCCCAGCAGGAGGCUGGGAGCCCUGUGAGUCGAGAGCGCUGAGACCCAGCCGGGAUGGGCGGGCAGCCGGCACUCGCCCUGUGUCCGGAAGCUCGGCUGCAGCUGGUCAGUACGAGUCCCACCCCCGAUAACACUCCAAAGGGACAGAGUCACAGAAGACUUCUUCCGACACCACACCUUCUGUCUCUGCCUCUCUGUCCUCUGUCUCUUUCCCUCUG